CCAGUUUAUACUGUUGAAGGAAGCGAUGGUUUUGUCUUUUCUGUCAGACCAAUGCCCCCUUCAUGCAACAUUAUGAGAAACCCCUUAUGGACUUUUUGAGCAAUAAGGAAAAUAAGCUUGUGAUAUCUGGGUUCAAAGACCGGAAAAACGGCUGGUUUAUGGACAUUAGAAGAGCUGGGUAUUAUUAUGAGGCUAAACAAACCCAGUUCCCUCAACCGUUGAUCGUGAUGCUUGGUUACCAGACCCCAAGAACUGGACACAGGACUCUAACCAAGGCAGGAUAGAGUGAGGCCAGGACAUCACUUGAUCUGGACACUAGACUUUAGUUGACAGGACACGGGAUUCCUCAUAUCUGUGCAGACCCCAUCAAAUUUACAUUCAUUGCUCCACCCAUUUUUUUCAUCUGGCCCGCCCACCAGC